GUAGGUGGCAAGCGUUGUCCGGAAUUAUUGGGCGUAAAGCGCGCGCAGGCGGUCCUUUAAGUCUGAUGUGAAAGCCCACGGCUCAACCGUGGAGGGUCAUUGGAAACUGGGGGACUUGAGUACAGAAGAGGAAAGCGGAAUUCCAAGUGUAGUGGUGAAAUGCGUAGAGAUUUGGAGGAACACCAGUGGCGAAGGCGGCUUUCUGGUCUGUAACUGACGCUGAGGCGCGAAAGCGUGGGGAGCAAACAGGGAUUAGAUACCCUGGUAGUCCACGCCGUAAACGAUGAGUGCUAAGUGUUAGGGGGUUUCCCGCCCCUUAGUGCUGCAGCUAACGCAUUAAGCACUCCGCCUGGGGAGUACGGCCGCAAGGCUG
rnacentral:rRNA from 1 species